UACGAAGGGGGCUAGCGUUGCUCGGAAUCACUGGGCGUAAAGCGCACGUAGGCGGGUCUUUAAGUCAGGGGUGAAAUCCUGGAGCUCAACUCCAGAACUGCCUUUGAUACUGAGGAUCUUGAGUCCGGGAGAGGUGAGUGGAACUCCUAGUGUAGAGGUGGAAUUCGUAGAUAUUAGGAAGAACACCAGUGGCGAAGGCGGCUCACUGGUCCGGUACUGACGCUGAGGUGCGAAAGCGUGGGGAGCAAACAGG
rnacentral:rRNA from 1 species